GAUGAACGCUAGCUACAGGCUUAACACAUGCAAGUCGAGGGGAAACGAUAUUGGAAGCUUGCUUCCGAUAGGCGUCGACCGGCGCACGGGUGAGUAACGCGUAUCCAACCUGCCCAUCACUUGGGGAUAACCUUGCGAAAGUAAGACUAAUACCCAAUGACGUCUCUAGAAGACAUCUGAAAGAGAUUAAAGAUUUAUCGGUGAUGGAUGGGGAUGCGUCUGAUUAGCUUGUUGGCGGGGUAACGGCCCACCAAGGCGACGAUCAGUAGGGGUUCUGAGAGGAAGGUCCCCCACAUUGGAACUGAGACACGGUCCAAACUCCUACGGGAGGCAGCAGUGAGGAAUAUUGGUCAAUGGACGAGAGUCUGAACCAGCCAAGUAGCGUGCAGGAAGACGGCCCCUAUGGGUUGUAAACUGCUUUUAUAAGGGAAUAAAGUGAGUCUCGUGAGACUUUUUGCAUGUACCUUAUGAAUAAGGACCGG
rnacentral:rRNA from 1 species